CUGAUAGUCUGAUUAUACGUUACACACUUACACUUAGACCUUAGUCACUUACUUCCCAUUUCCCAAAACCUAAAUCAAAAAUUAGAUUUAGGGUUCUUCCUUAGCUCUGUCUCUGUUGCGACUGCUGCGAGCCUGCGAUUGCUGCCUUCUUACUCAGCUCUGUGCGAUUGCUGCCUUCUUCCUCAGCUCGGUUGUGAUGCCUUCUUCCUCAAGUUAGUGCGACUUCUUCUGAGUUCUAAGUUGAGUUAGGUCCAGUGUCGUUUUGCAGUUUUGCUCACUGUUAUUGUCAUUUUGGCCGAACUUUCUGAUAGAAUUUUUGCUGAAAAAGGUGUUCAAGAUUUCUUUUGUUGAUUUUUUAUUAAGAUAAGGCUUCUUUAUUUGUGUUUUAGUUCUUUUUUUCCUUGGAAUAAUUUUGAACAAUUCUUUUCCCUUUUAUUGUUGCAAAAAAAUGUGAUUGAGAAAACUCUAGUAUAUGAAAGCUCAAAGUCAAGUUUAAGUUUAUGAAGAAAGAAAAUGUCUUAGUCUAUGGCGUCGUGGUAAUUUUGUUAAUCAUAUCACGUUAACUCCAUUUUCCCGAUUUAGAUGAGAAUGUUCCUGUUAUAUCUGGAUUUGAGGUUUUUUCUUAGGGUGGUGUUUGUCUCCACUAAUAAAAAAUCAAUCUUUUUUUAGAAAACUAUAUUCAAUCAACAAGCAACAACAUCUCUAAAGUUAAGGACAUUUCAAUUAGUACUUCCUCUUUUGCUGUUGUGUUCUGUUUGCACUGAAGGCCUCCCUGUUCUCUAUGUGCUUGUUCUCUAUUCUUGGUUUCAUUUAUAGUGUAGUUUCAAAUAUCCUCUUUAGUGAUCACCAAAAUGUUACACUAGUUUCUUUUGAUGACUUUGCAGUUUGCAGCAUUUCCAUGCUUGUUUAUUGCAUGAUAACUGAGAAUAUAUCCUCAAAUACUCGGGCACCUUCUUGUAACGGUGGCAUGAAUCCUUGAACGUAAAAGAUAAGAAUGGGAUGAUGUCUUCUCAAGUGUAUCCCAACUACGACGAAGAAAUGUGUAAAUUUUUUGUGAGGGAUAUAGGAGGCUCUAACUUGCACUAACUAGUUCACACGCAUUCUCCAUAUGUCUAUCGUGUGUCAAAUCUCAUCUGAAUUGGCCUUACUUCUUGGGUUUUAGUGCAGAGACUGCAUAGUUCAUAGCUUUUUAUUUGCCAAAGGAGUAGGCAAAAGUUGCUCACCUAAAUUAUGUUCAAGAUGUAGUAUGGUAUGUUCUUGGUCUCUCGGUUGCUUAGUUAAACUCUUAUUUAUUUUGAAAUUAGUUUCAAGACCUGCUUUAUGAACUAUUAGCCUGUAGAUUUUGAGCAUUUAGCUAGGACUAGGAUAUAUAUUUGAGAAAAUUGUAAGGAGAGUACGAAAAUACUGGCUAUCAAGUACGAGAGAGGGCUAAAUGCUUGUGAAGUUGCACCAUAUUACAAAGUGUGGUGAGUUAAAAGAAUUACAAAUGACAUUAUAUGCAUAGAUGAUCGGAUUACUCACCGAGGUUGGGUUAUUUUUAUCUUUUAAAUAAAAUUUUCAUUGUGUACCUUUGAUUGAGUGCGCUUCAUUUAAUUCAAUUUCUGUUACCGCAAUUAAUCCUCAGCUAGGAGUAAUUGAUGUGUACUUUUGGUCCUGUGUUGGAGAAAAAUGAUGAUUUUUUAUCAUUCAUUAAACAACGUCAUUAUCAUUAGAGUGAUAUUGUCAGCAAAUAAACAAUGGCAUGAGAACUGACAAUAUCACUAUGCCGUUGUCUUUCUCUGUUGCCUCCUUUAAGAGAACUCUAUCUCAAAAUGACAAUUUGCUGGGCUGGACGAACAACAAAUAAAUUUCAGCCUUGUUUAUUGCAUAAGAACUGAGAAUAUCGUCUCUGUUAUGUGCAAUGGCUGUUGGACCAAUAUCUUCUUUUCUAUUCAUUCAUUAUGACAAUCUAUUUCCUUUUUCCAGAGAAGCAUAAAUUUUUUUGAACCGUUUAAAAUCGAAAAAAUAAACCGAAAAUAAUUAAACCGAACUUUGAAAAAAUCGCACCAAAUCGUAAAUACUUUGGUUUGAUUUGGUUAUUAAUAUUACAAAAUCAAAAACCGAUAAACCAAACUGUACUUUCAUAAUAACCGACCAAACCGACCGACGCCCACCCCUAGUGUGAUGUAGUCGACUUGAGCUUUAUAUAGUCGAUCAUCAUCCUUGCAUAUGUUAGUAGUAAUCCUUGAUAUAGUUCCUGCAUAUGUUAGUAGUAAUCCUUUCUCCUCAUUUGGCAUCAACCAAAAGAGGAAAAAUACGUAAUAACAUUAGCAGUUUAGAUUAUCCUGAUAAUUAUAGUCAUCCAAAACACAAAAAAUAAGCAUCCAACCAUAAAACAUCCAAAAAAAAAAACUAAGAUUGUCCAAAACACCCAACAACCAGAUCAGUGAUGGAGAAAGUAGGUAAAAGUGUUGCAAAUGGUUUCCUUGAAACGGUCAAAGCUUGUGUUCGUAGUGACUGAGAUCUUAUCAACGCGAUCAUGGACUUCCUUGAAUGUUUUUACUGCCUUUUCUGCAGUCUUUUGUAACGUGACUCGCAUUUUUGACAUAUCUGAGCCUGUCUCUUUUUAGAUAUCAUGGAUAUCUCCAACUGUGGAUUGAGUGGCCAGGAAGAGGUCCUUGAUGACAUUCACCAU
rnacentral:lncRNA from 1 species